rnacentral:lncRNA from 1 species
UUCUUCUCAACGUAAUGAUAAGAAGGAGAUUUGUUUAGAUCCAAAUUUUCUACGGUACGAACUAACUUUGAUGCAAACACCUCUAGAGAUCUAAACUGAGACUCUUUUACCAAAUCAAAGUAAACUUCCCAUUCCAACUGACCUAUCACAUUUAAUAUAUACUUAUGCCCUUGACCAACAUCGUAUCUCCCAUAAAAACGAAUCUCCACAUUAUCCUCGGUCCAUCCAAGAACUUCUUUCACUCGUGACCUUAGUUCAUCUAGAGUUGGGUGGGUGGGAAACAAAAUGGUCUUCAAUGACAUAUCCUCAAACUCAACAUGUCCACCAACAUAAGGUUCCACCACUCUACCACCGUAGUAAACACUAACAAGUCUAUCCAUCUACACCAAAAAAUCAAAUGUAACUUUGCAACAAAAAUUAAAUCUUCAUUCCUAAACGUAGUCCAAACCGACAUAUUAUAACCAAUGCAUAACUUAAAUUGUCCCAAAGCUACUACUCCAAAAAAAUAUUUAAUCCACCUACAACUAUCAACAAGUUUACUACUGCAUUACACAUCGAAAUAUUACAAAUACUCCAUCAUACAACCCAAACCUCCGUCAUGCCUCAACCAUAAUUUUUCAUCCAUCCAUCCAACCAAACCAUCCAAAAAUUAACAUUACCACAUAUAUGGUUAAAAAAAUCAUGACACCAAUGAGUACAAUGCAAACAUGUAGCACUACAACAAGCCAAUCCUAAGAACAAAUGCUAAAAAUCACAAAUUUGGGUAAAAAAGGGGUUCUAGGGUUACCCACCGAUCUACAAAUUCAACCAAUAAAAACGAAAAAAAAGAGGGGAGAAUGAAGGAGUCUACCUUUCUCUUCGAUUUCCACAAAAAAUCCCGCGAAAAACGGCUUCAAAUUGAGUGGAUUUGAGGUGGAGAGGUGAGGGGGAGAGAGAGGGAGAAGAACAGCAGCUCGCUGCUCGGGCUGGGAAUGGCGAAAAUGGGAGUGGGGAGGAGAAAGGUGGUGGGGCCCACGGGGUUUAAGGGUCGGCCCACAGAGGAGGGGCGCGCCAGCUAUGCUGGCGCCGUGGUAUGAGGGGCGGCGCCAGUGUGGUUGGCGCCCCCUUUCUGCCCAGUCAGCACCUCCACGACAGCCCUAGUGCCACGGUGGCACGGGCACGGCGCCAGUGUGGCUGGCGCCGCUAUGUUGGGGUACGGCGCCAGCCACUCUGGCGCCCCAAAAAGGACCAUUUCCGGUUUAAAUUUUUCCAGGGGUCUAUUUGUAAAAUAAGUUUUCAAAAAGGACCAAAUUGUAAAAAUUUCAGUAUAGAUGACAACAUGUAGUCUCUCAUGUACUUUUACCGUACGAAUAAUUAUAAAUACGAUCUAACAAAUUCUAGCACCAUCGCUUGCAUACGUCUUGGCACUCUUACAAGUAAGCCAUGGUUAUCACAAAUUAAAAAGGAAACUAAGAGCCAUUAAGAAAAAAACUAUUUACAUUAUCUAUUGUUGGUACUAUGCCAUGAUAUAUAUACGUGUUUGGCGAUAAUUCACGAUGACGUACGUGUUUUUUCAAGAGCAGAGUGUGCUUUUAUAAAUAGAGUGAGGCUCAAGCUUAUUUGUUGUGUCAACAUCAUAUAUGUGGAAUAUUUUAAUCUUUGUUGUAUAAGUCUUUGUUAGAUAAUGUAAACAGUUGAAAAACCUGUAAAACAAUAAGGACAUACAAGUCCUGACAAAUUAUUUGGUUAGACGAAUAACAAUUUUACCGUUACUUUUAAAUAAGUUAUGAUAUGUUUUGUUGCUGAAAAUAUUAUGCCAACGACCUAUCUUUUUUCAUCCACUUCUUUUCCACAAUUUCAUCCCUUCAUACUUAAAAUGAUACUAUUGGAAUUCUUUUAAGAUAUUAAAAGGACGACUCGCAUAUUAACACAUUAUUUUCAGUAUGUACCAAGAAAGAAAAUUAUUAUUGGACGAAUAAUAACUCCAUGCUUACUGUUAUCCAAUUACGCGUCUUCUUGAGAAGAGAAAAGUAUUAGCCAAUAAACUAUCUUAAAUAUAUACAUUUUUCCACGGUCUCAUCACCUCCUUUUUGAAAUGGCACCAUCAAUUUUUUCUUAGACGUUCAGAUAACAACUCUCAUAUUAGCAAACGAAUUCCAGCGUACAACGAGAAAGAAAAGCCCCUGGAAACUCCAUUAACCCUAGCCAAAAACCACAGGCUUUGCUUUGGAUUUUGAGCUAAAGAGCAAAGGCAUAUAGAGAAGUGAAAGCAAGGAGCAGCAGCAGUAACCGAAGAGGAGGCAAGCCCCAGGCCCCCAGCCCUCUUCGCUUUAUUCCCCUUCAUAUUUUGGCCCUCCUUUGCCCCUUCAGGCCCUCACUCCUCAGUACUCCUACUGCUGCUACUCUACUCCCUCCUCUCUCCAGCUGCUCGUCUCCUUGGGCAACGGAGAGCGCAAGCACACUAGCACAGCUGCACAGGCACAGCUGCACAGCUCAGUGUGUCCUUCCUUGCACUGUCCUCUGCGCCAGCCACCUUGCAUCUCCUCCCUCUUUCCCUCUCCGGUCCUUCAAAUCCUGAGCUGAGCUGCCCCGGGUUGGGUUCUUGCAUUGCUUGAGGUGGUCGCAUCCGUGUGUGUGUGUCCUCGGCACCGCGUGUUUUCCUUGGAUUCAGGUGCUACGGCCAUUUACUACUGCUGCCCCCCUGGUCGUUUCAGCAGGCCGGAGGCAUUAACUUCCACUGGCAUUGAUUUGAUCCCUGUCAUGGUGAGCUUGUUGGCUACUGCGUGGGGCUGACCAUUCCCGGAGUCUCUCGGCUAUCUUUGAUCCUACUCCUGGUUUAGUUCCUGAAAUCUUGCGGUUUUUUUCUUCUUCGGUGGCUGCCGUUCUUGAUGUUCCUGCCCAAGUGACUGGUUUAUCUUGCUCUCCAUCAAUUCGGUUUUGGGUUGCUGCGGUGGAUUCUUUGCUCCCCUUCGAGAUACUGCUUGGAUCAUUAGUUCAUUACACGGUUAGCAGAGGAACUCUUGGAGUUGGGGAUUCCUUUGUUCUUCUUUUCACAGUUUGGAAUAUCAGGAGCUGGCUUGGAAUCUUCCAAGCAAGGGGAAAAAGUUCUCUGGGAUAGGGAGAAACAGAAUCCUGUUCUUCCCCCUUUCAUUCCACUAGUAUAUACUGCUCUGAGAGGAGCAAUUGGAGGCAUGGUUUGGAUUUUGGUGGUUUGAGGAGGGAAGAAGCAUCCCUGGAGCUGUAUGAGGAGGCAUUGAGACAAUGAGAGAUGAGAAUUCAAUCAAGACCAAGGUAAGGGUGCCACAGAGCAAGAGCUAGUCUGUUCAUAAUAUCUAUAUUUAUAUUGUUUUUGUCCUGAUUGUUUCUGAUCUUGUUUUUGUUCUGAACUGGCCUGGAAGAAGCUAUCCUGGUCCAAGACCUUUGUUAGGAAGUGGUUCAACAUCAAAACAAAAGCCAAGGACUUCCAUUCAGAUUAUGCAGUUGAAGAAGGUACAACUUAUUGACUUAAUACCACCACUCUCACUUCUGAAUUAAUGAGCUUGAGUUACCAGGUGUUUGUUUUUCUCCUUAUAUUCUUUGGUAUCCUUUUCACAGUCGUAAAUUGUUGUAUUUUGGUGUUCAGUACUAACAGUGUGUCGAAUUCCAGAAGCAAGUCUGAGCACUUGCUUCCAGUUCUCUUGUAUAGUGAGAUAUUAUUUAUUGUUUCAGAAACAGCCAUAGCAUGCUUGAGACCUACAGAAAGAAUUUUGUUUUGGCGUGGUGGUGCUAAAAACCUCUUUCUGAUCAUUUCAGUAGGUGUCCAGUGGAGAACCAGUUUCUCAGAGAGAGAUGUAUGCAAAUCCAAGAAAAGCAGAACAGGUACAUUUUGCUUGCCUCAUCACAGUAAAUAUUGUAUUCUCACAUCUCUUACCUUUGUAUUUGAGUAAAAACUGAACUGGAACCUCCAGUCAACAUUGUCCUAUGCUUGACUGUAUUAGUGAUGUGUUUACUCAGAGAGGUUGCCUAGGAAGAGUGUGGAUCGAGAUUCCCGGGUAGGAAAUGGAUUUGACCGUGCUUAUAUCACAAAUACACAAGACUACAGGUAAAUAGAUUGUGCCUUUUUAGAACUUAAUCGAUCCAGUAGUCGUUGUUAGGGAAUUUCUCUGAUUUGACAUUCCGUAUGCUCGUAUGCACAGGGUCUUUGUUGCAACAUGGAAUGUGGGUGGAAGGUCACCAUCGAGUCAUUUGAAUUUGGAAGACUGGCUUCAUACUUCUCCGGCUGCUGAUAUAUAUGUCAUUGGGUACAAUCCAGAUUCAUGCAGUGACUUAAAUCAUAUUGUGUUUUCUUUACAAAAUAUUGUUCAUCUAAAAAAGAUCUAGCAUGCAUAAAAAGAAAACUAUUAACACUUUUUUAUCGUACCAGGUUACAGGAAAUUGUUCCUUUGAAUGCUGGCAAUGUCCUAUUGACCGAAGACAAUGGUCCAGCAAAGAAAUGGGUCGCACUUGUUAGAAAAACGCUAAACAAUAUAGACCAAGGCUCUGUUGUGUACAACUACCACACCCCUUCGCCGGUUCCAGAUCCUAUUGUUGAGCUCAAUGUUGAUUUUGAACGAUCAUCAAGAAGACCAAGGAAUUCAUCUUUCUUCCAUCGACGUUCAUUCCAGUCCUUCAACCGAAGCUCAAGAAUUGACAUGAUGGAUCCCCACUCAUUAGUGGAUCGUCGUUUCAGUGUUUGUGACCGGAUUAGCUUUGGGAGUAGGCCAAGUGAUGUUGACACCAGUAUGAGAUAUGGUGGGUCAUCUGAUGAUGAGAAUAUUGACGAGGAAUCACCUAGUGGUAUAUACAUCUCACCAAUGCCAUACGGUUAUGGUGCUCCACUAUGCUAUGAUGAUAACAAAAGACAGUUGAUAAACACUAGGUAGGUUUCCAUGAGACUCUGAAGAUACAGUCGUUCUGAAACUUGCUAGCUGUUGUAGCUGGCACUUCUAUACUAUUAACAUUUCACUGAAAUUCCUUCCAUCCUUCAUCACUGGAAUGAUACAAAUAUUUGCCCUGAAAAUAGAGUUUUCUGUAAUAUAGCAGAUAUUGCCUAGUUGCCAGCAAGCAAAUGGUUGGUGUUUUUCUCAUGGUUUGGGUACGAAGUGAUAUAAGGGAACAUGUGAAGAACUUGAAGGUUUCAUGUGUUGGCAGAGGUUUGAUGGGAUAUCUCGGAAAUAAGGUAUCGUUUUCCGCUUUUCCAUUUCUCGUAAUUGUGUGCUACUUAAAUCUUAUACUCAUCAAUCUUUGCAGAUACGUUAGUCUUUUCUGUCAAGAAGUGUAGAUGAUUUAUCAUUUAUGCUUAUUGAAUUUCACCUGACAUCCUGUUUGCAUGUGCAUCCAUAUGUUUGUUUACAUAUGAUUAUGUAGCUCCAUUUGUCCUCACUUUCUUCUCUUAUAUUAAUUAGGGAUCGAUAUCAAUCAGCAUGUCUCUGCAUCAGACAAGCUUCUGCUUUGUUUGCACUCACUUGACCUCAGGGCAAAAGGACGGUGAUGAACUUAGAAGAAAUGCAGAUGUUGUAGAAAUUUUGAGGAAGACCAGAUUCCCACAUGUCCAUGGUGUAGGUGACGAGAAGUCACCGGAGACAAUUCUUGACCAUGAGUAAGUCUCAUGUUGCAAUAGUUUCAGCUUGGAUAAACACGUUGAAUAGAACAAAAUUUGAAAUUAUUGGAUAUAACAAUCUUAGCCUAUCAUUUAUUUUGUUUUUUCAGUCGUAUAAUAUGGCUUGGGGAUCUUAAUUACCGAAUAGCUCUUUCAUACCGUUCGGUGAAGGCUCUAGUUGAGAUGCACAAUUGGAAACAGUUACUAGAGAAGGACCAGGUUAGCUAUUCUUACAAAAACUGCUAACAGUGUCAUGCCUCUUACAAUAAACUAGUGUAGCUACGAAAAAUGUGGUCUCCUUUUCUUUUUCUUCUCAUGUAGAACAUUUUUGUAACAGCUUCGAAUAGAGCAAAGGUAUGGUCGGGUAUUUUCAGGCUGGAAAGAAGGGAGGAUUUAUUUUCCUCCCACAUACAAAUACUCCUACAAUUCUGACAGAUACGCAGGCGACGAUAUGCGUCCGAAUGAGAAGCGAAGAACACCUGCAUGGUAAGUUAAAAUAUUAUUACAGCAAACCAUUCACCCUUCUUCAGAGUUUACACCUUCACCUUUUUGGCUUGUGCUUAUUGUAAUGGUUUUUCUGAAGGUGCGACCGGAUUCUAUGGUAUGGGAGAGGCCUGAAUCAACUAUGUUAUGUUCGCGGCGAGUCUAGAUUCUCAGAUCACAGGCCUGUAUACAGCAUUUUCACUGCGGAGGUUCAGAUACCGAGCCAAACCCAAUUUUGCAGCUUUGCUCGUUCUACCUCUCUAAUGGGGGUGGAUGAACUACCAUACCCAACUUAUCCACGCAGUUACACAGAUAUCAAUUUUUAUUGAUUGUGUAUCUCGAUGGAGCCAAGGUUAGUGUUCUUUAUCCCAUGUAGUCGCAUUGUUUGGGCUUGUUGGUCUGACCACUUCUCUGAAUUCCAUGCCAAAGUGCUCUAUUCAUCAUAACUUCCAUCUGUUCAUUGCAGACAUUCUUCAGUCCCAGAAUACACCAGAUGAACUUCAUUUCUCCCAAGAUUCCAGCAAUUGGAAUAUUGUCAGCCAACAGGUGAUUCCUGAACUAUUGUUUCUUUUGCCCCCUUCAGUGUUUGUGCCUCAUCAUGUAUCCUAGUACAUCCACAAUGUAUGAUGAACAUGAUAUGUUUUUUAAUUAUCUUUUGGCAAAUUUACUGCGACUGAUACGUCAAUUCCGACCUUUUGUGUGCAUGCAGAUACUCAAGGAGAUGCUUUCUAAUUGUAAAAUUAGGUAUGUUCUACAAGACUGCUUGUACAUCACUACCAUAUGUGUGAUUAGUACAGAUAAAUUGAAUGACUAAGAUAUCUUUGCACUUGUCAACAGGAAGAUUUGCGCAGUCAAGCAAAGUUUUGAAUCUAACAAUCCGCGAGUACCAGUUUACAACAGCAACCAAAAAAAAAAGAGGAGAGUUUUAGUUCCGAAAUAAGCUAAUCACUAACAACUGAAGCUGAUUUGCAGUGUGCUUUUGGAUACCCCUUCAUCAUACAGAAUUCCUUUUUCCUUCGCCACCAUUUGUACUACUUGAAAGGCUUUGUUUCCUCUUUUGCUUUUCUUUCUUUUUUGUUCUUGGUCUUCUGAUGUAACAAGAGCCCCUUGGGCACUGAUAUUUAAUUGGAAGUAGAAACAGUGCAGUAUCAUUUGUACAGCAUAAUGUUGAUGCUAUCAUGCAGUGUUUGCAGUGUGGCAUGGUUCAUGCUUGCAAGAAAUGAUCACCACAACACAGCAUUUCACUCAGGCUUGUGCACAAAGCAAGGAGCUGAAAAAGGUGUCACACAGAAGCUGCCUGCCUGCCUCUGCUGCUGCAACCAUGCAGUAUGCUAUAGCCGUUUUCUUUUUGCUACACAUCCUUUUCCUUUACCAUGAGAAGGGGAAAACAAGCCAUGGAAAAGCAGCAAUAGGGGAGGAAUCACUGUGGGCAGGUUAGGGGACAUGAAAGCAGUGGGGACACCAAAGCCACCAAAAAGCACAAGGCUCAGAUGCAGAUGCCGGUACACACACUCUCCUCUCAUCAAGGUGAGGAUGGCAUACCAAGAAGACAAGCAUGGCUUGGCCUCGCAUGGCCAUGCCUUCCCUGGUGUACUGGUAAUAGCAGGCCAGGCCAGGCCAGGCCAGGCCAGGAGUACCCAUGUCUCACUGAGACCUGCUGCUGCUUUCUCAAAAGAAUGGAAACAAAAAGAGAGGGAGAGAGACCACCCCCUGGUCCAAGGUCCAAGUAGCAUCUCAGUAGGGAACCGAGCUUGGACCACUCCUGUUCUUUUCUCCUCCUCCUCUCUUUUACCCCAGUACCACCACUUUUCCAUUUUGUUUGUUUCACCGGCUGAUUUUUCAUUAACCCGGUCUGUCAAGCCAAGAGAAAAGCUUCUACAGCAAGGGAGGAGGAGCAGUUGGUGGUGAAAUCAUUUCAUCGGGAUUAGCUAUAAACACCUCGGUUUCAGCAGUAAUCAGGGCUGCUGGCAUGGCAGAAGAACAUCUCGAGGUGUGGCGUGUAGUUACCAUCACGCAGCAUGUUACUGCUGGAAAGUAACAGAAGAAGAAUUCAUCCCUUGACCGUUACUACCUUUUUGGUGAAGGGAAGGGAAAAGGGCGAUGGGUUGGGUGUGGAUCUCGUACCCGUCGUUUCGCGGACGCCGCGUCGGCAGGUAGUAGACGCGCGCGCCAGCCAGCGCCACCUCCCUAUGCUUCUCCCGUGCUCCGCGGCCUCCCAUCGGACGGCGCGACGUUGGCAGGUUGCGGAAACCAUCCCGCACCGCGCGCCGCGCGCCGCGGCGGUUCGACGGCUCGAGGUGUGUGUUGCUCGCGCUAGCGUCGCGCGGCUUGCCAAGACGGCAGCGGAGAGAGCUAGAUCUCGUGACGCGACUUGGGCUGACAGCCGGCCCAGCGUACGUGGGGGUGGGGGUGCCGGCCGCUUAGGCCCAUCUUGGUGGUUGCCAUGGCCCAUCUUUGUGCUCGUAGUAGUUUUGGGCCAUUUUGCUGAUGCCAGUUGCUCCACGUGAGGCGACACGAAUGAGGCAGUGGCAUAGUUUCCACGACCUCACACAUUUCCCUUGUAUAACUCAAAAUCAAUUCAAGUUGCAAUUAUUGUUGAUCACGUCUCCAACCCACUCCCAACUAAACGAUCGUUUUGUAUCAGACCAGUCCAAUAUUUUAUCAUUUAAUCCACGAGGAAUUGGGAGAAAUUUAAAAACGACAUUUGCAAACUCUUACUUAUGUAGCAGUAUUUACUUAUAUGGAGAUAGUCGCACAGAGGGAGCCACCCACUUAUUUCACUCGUUCCCGCCUAAUUACAAAAGCUACAACACACGCGUCGAGGCCAAACUCCCGCAUCUCGCUCGCCCGGCAGCUUGGAUGGCUCACCGCUCACGCACUCGCCACGCCGCUCGUCGCCGCGGAGCGCGUCACACCGCAGCGGCUGCCAUCCUCAGGAGCGUCUCCACCGCCUCGUCGCCGCGCCCACGGUGGCUGCGGCGGCGGCGGCGGUCUUCGUCCUCCGAUUCCUCGCCGCGGCGGCCGCUCUUCUCCGGGCCGGCGAGGAACGCGGACUCCUGCUGCGCGUUGAGCAGCUCGUCCACCUCCCUCGCGCUCGCCGCGAACGCCAGCUCCUUGGCCUGCGGGUCCAGCUUCUUCAGCACGCUGUUCAUCCCGGCGAGGUACAUCCUCUCGUUGUUGUUGGCGUGGACGUCGAAGCAGACGAUCUGGAGGGUGCUGUCGCGGGACGACGUCACCACGAUCGGGUGGCCGGAGGGGACGACGAACACCGUGCCGCGCGACAGCCGCGCACGGAUCGUCUCGUACCCCUGGCCGACUUGUUCUUCCUCUUCCUCCUCCUGCCCCUUCUGCUGCUCCUCCUCCUCCUCUUCCUCCUCACGCCACUUGCCCUUGCCGCGCUCGCGCCGGCGCUCCUCGCUCUCGCCGCCGCGGCCGCCGCGCGACAGGUGCGGGCACACGAUCUCGGCCUCCCCCUCGCCGUCCAGGACGUAGGCGACCUUGACCGACCGGGUGUUGUAGAACGGCGCGUUCAUGGAUCCCUGCAUGCAACGCAGACGAAAUCAUAUACCAAUCGGUCCAAUGUACACACGGUCACGCGCCGCCAUGGCGCGUGGACGACGAAGCAAACGCACCGCGGUGAUGUUGACGACGGCGACGCGGAUGUCGUGCUCGGCGAGGUCGUGGAAGCUGCGGGCGUCGGCCUCGUAGAGGCGGCCGUGGCGGUUGGCGAACCUGGGCCUCUGCUCCAGGAUGUUGAAGGGGCCGCGCGACGACUCGCCGAACGGCGGCAGCGGCCAGUGCGGGCCGUGGCCGCCCUCCGACGCGUGGCGCCGCAGCUCCCGCACCUGCUCCUCCGACGCGCGGAUGAUCACCCCCUUGUCCUGCUUCCCCAGCAGCUUCUCCAGCUUCUCCUCCGAAAUCUAAACAUUGCACCACACAACUCGUACGUCGAUAUCAACUUAAUUAGUUAUUAACUUAUUAUCCUUGCUGUAUAACCAAUAUGUUAAUCAAGUACUUAAGUGACAGAUUGAUCGGAUUAAUGCUACUACGUGCCUUGAAAGCAGCUCUCUGCACGCCCUUGCUGAAGCUCGACAAGAAUGACUCCGGGUUCCUCCCGCCUGGGGCGAAGAAGAACUGCAACAUUGAUUGAUUGAUUGAUUGAUUACUUGUGCGUAGAGAGUUGAUUAGAGUUUAUGAAUAGUGAUUUGAUCGAUCGUGUUCGUGCCUGGAUCUGGCCAGGGACGGAGAUGGUAUGGAGAAUCUUGGUAACGAUCAGCUUCCUCCGGCCGUCGGUGUUGGCCAAGUAAUUGAUCGUCCCCGCCGGCGCCACGAAGACGUCGCCUUGCCGGAUGGCGUACGACCACUUCUCGCCGUUCUCGAUGAUCGCCACCACUCCCUCGCCUACGCCACGGCAUCAAACAACCGAAGUUAGCCGCCAGCUUCGAACACAAAUCACCGAAUCAACCUCGCAGCGCCGUGCGGCGCGUGGCGGCGAGCGCGCGUACCUUGGGCGACGUAGCAGAUGCAGUGCGCGUCCGUGUGGGUCGGCAUGACGAAGGAGCGCGGGUUCGCCUCGAGCACCGCGACGCGGUAGUUCUUGAUGCCGCGCAGGAGGCUGGACGCCUGGUGGAACGGCGGGAGGAGCCUGACGGAGCCCUGGUCGCUGCGGACGACUUGCCGGAAGCUGCGCCGGCCGAACACGUACGGCCGCCGCCGGCUUCCGCGCUCGCGGCCCUCGUCCUC